AAACGGACGGAAAACAUUAAUUGGAUUACCUUUUGGAGUGAGUGCUGUGGAUCUGGAGACAUAUCCUAGCUUGCUGAGAUGCAACCAUUUGCUCAAGGUGGUCUUGCUCCGCCUUGAAUGGGUUCGAUUAAAAGCAUCAUACCAUUCAAGGAACGAAUCAAGCCACCACUUUUGAAGGAUCGCAGGCGGGAGUUCACAAGGAAAUAAAGAAACAAAAUAUAAACAACAGGACACGCGCACACAGGAGGGAAGAGCCGGGCAAAACCCCGUGCCAUCU
rnacentral:lncRNA from 1 species